AAGAGCUUUAGCAAAGGGUUAUAUGUUUUGACUGCAAAUCGAAACAAAGGGAUUCGAUUUCCCCGGCUCUAU
rnacentral:tRNA from 1 species